rnacentral:rRNA from 1 species
UGGCUGCAGUGGGGAAUAUUGCGCAAUGGGCGAAAGCCUGACGCAGCGACGCCGCGUGAGCGAUGAAGGCCCUCGGGUCGUAAAGCUCUGUCGGAAGGGAACGAAAACGCCGUGGGAACAAUACCCCAUGGUCCUGACGGUACCCUUCCAGAAAGCACCGGCUAACUCCGUGCCAGCAGCCGCGGUAAUACGGAGGGUGCUAGCGUUGUUCGGAAUCAUUGGGCGUAAAGCGCGUGUAGGCGGGUCGGUAUGUCGGAUGUGAAAGCCCUCGGCUCAACCGAGGAAUUGCAUCCGAAACCACCGGUCUUGAGUACGGGAGAGGGAAGCGGAAUUUCCAGUGUAGAGGUGAAAUUCGUAGAUAUUGGAAGGAACACCAGUGGCGAAGGCGGCUUCCUGGACCGAUACUGACGCUGAGACGCGAAAGCGUGGGGAGCAAACAGGAUUAGAUACCCCGGUAGUC